CCUACGGGUGGCAGCAGUGGGGAAUAUUGGGCAAUGGGCGAAAGCCUGACCCAGCAACGCCGCGUGAAGGAAGAAGGCUUUCGGGUUGUAAACUUCUUUUGACAGGGAAGAGCAUAAGACGGUACCUGUCGAAUAAGCCACGGCUAACUACGUGCCAGCAGCCGCGGUAAUACGUAGGGGGCAAGCGUUGUCCGGAUUUACUGGGUGUAAAGGGCGUGUAGACGGGCUGACAAGUCAGAUGUGAAAGCCGGGGGCUCAACCCCCGAACUGCAUUUGAAAUGGUUGGUCUUGAGUGUGGGAGAGGGAAGCGGAAUUCCUAGUGUAGCGGUGAAAUGCGUAGAUAUUAGGAGGAACACCAGUGGCGAAGGCGGCCUGCUGGACGACAACUGACGGUGAGGCGCGAAAGCGUGGGGAGCAAACAGGAUUAGAUACCCCUGUAGUC
rnacentral:rRNA from 1 species